UACGUAGGGUGCAAGCGUUGUCCGGAAUUAUUGGGCGUAAAGAGCUCGUAGGCGGUUCGUCGCGUCGGCUGUGAAAUCCCGGAGCUCAACUCCGGGUCUGCGGUCGAUACGGGCGGACUUGAGUUCGGCAGGGGAGACUGGAAUUCCUGGUGUAGCGGUGAAAUGCGCAGAUAUCAGGAGGAACACCGGUGGCGAAGGCGGGUCUCUGGGCCGAUACUGACGCUGAGGAGCGAAAGCGUGGGGAGCGAACAGG
rnacentral:rRNA from 1 species